GGUAGCGGAGGUGCCCUGGAUCUCCCUUUUUAUGUUCUUGCCAACCUGCAGGGACAACAUUAAACGACCAAAGGGUCUUUUAUUUAAAGUGUAUUCCUAGUGCCCUAGAAUGAGCUCACCCUACUUCCUAGGUUGUAUCGUCCGUUCAAUCACCGGACUGCAGAUAUGAAACCCAAUGUCUACCCUGUUUGCUGCCUAAGUUAUUCUGUUUUCUUUUUUUUUUUAUUUCUUAUAUUUUUAUUCCAGGAUGUGUGUCAAGCUAAGUUUCUCUGUGUAUCGUUCUAAGUAUUGAACAUAUAAAAAGGAGCAUACAUCGGCCUACCUUGGCACCUACGGGCUGCUGGUGCAAAAUUCCCUCGGGGACACUGGAGCAGAUGGCGGCGGUGGAACCAAUGAUGAAGCUGGAGAUGCUGAUGAGAUGAUGAUGUUGUUGAGGAUGGAAAUGUUGACGUUGCCGUGGAUGACGAUGGUUAAAAUUGCAGUAGAGGUGGGUAUUUAUUAUUUGACAAAAAGUUUUUGUUGUUCUGUUUAGUCUUUGCUAUGUUUUAUUCGUGGCUCAAAUUAACGUUCUUUUUCAAAGCUUUUUAUAUUUCACAGGAUCUUUUUUCUUUAGCAUUAAUUAGCACUAAUAAGUUUAUUUAGCUUUAAGUUGAUCUAAAGUAACUUCAGCUUUUUUACUACAAAAGCUAGUCUUUAUUCCUUUCACAAAAAAAAGGAACAUUUAUUUGCUUUUAAAUAAAAAACUUUAUGCCUUUGGCAUCACAUA